UGAAUCAUGAAUCUUAUCUUUUCAGUAGAAAGAAAGAACUGAAAAAUGUCUCGUUAAAUAAGUUUAAAAGGGAAGAAACUUGAUGUGUUGACACAGAAAGUCUGGAUUGUAUUUGUUUUUGUCUUUAUCACAUUUAUGUGAGCUCACAUUUUUCCCUUUAGAGGGAUUUUUAAUUCAGAUGUCAUCAUUUUGUAUCGGUUAUAAAAAUUCUAUUCAUAACAACAUACAGGCCGGUGUGUUUUAUUAAAGUCUAGACCUGCGCUGCUUUGAUACAUGAUCAGUAUCAGGACGAACUACAGCUGGACAUAAGUGAAAGACAAACAGACGUGUGUUUCUUCGGUGACCGGAUGAGCCAGGUCCGCCCACCUCCUUCAGACUUUCACCGUUCGGCAAGGACUUCAGAAACUGAUUAACAGAACCUCCAGGAUGCUUCAUGUGAAAGACAGACAGGCCUUUAACUUUCAGUUUGGUGUCUUCACUGGUUUUGCCUGCUGUCAUCCUGAUCCCCUCAUGCAGAGGACAGUCGCAGGUGAUUUGUUCACCUCAGCCAAUCAUAGCCCUGG